UGAGGAAUAUUGGUCAAUGGGCGCAAGCCUGAACCAGCCAUCCCGCGUGCAGGAAGACGGCCCUAUGGGUUGUAAACUGCUUUUCCAGGGGGAGAAUUUUUCUGUCGUGACAGGAAUUGACGGUACCCUGGGAAUAAGCAUCGGCUAACUCCGUGCCAGCAGCCGCGGUAAUACGGAGGAUGCGAGCGUUAUCCGGAUUUAUUGGGUUUAAAGGGUGCGUAGGCGGAUUGAUAAGUCAGUGGUGAAAACCUGCAGCUUAACUGUAGACUUGCCGUUGAUACUGUCAGUCUUGAGUGUGGUCAAGGUAGGCGGAAUGUGUAAUGUAGCGGUGAAAUGCUUAGAUAUUACACAGAACACCGAUUGCGAAGGCAGCUUACUGGGCCAUUACUGACGCUGAUGCACGAAAGCGUGGGGAUCGAACAG
rnacentral:rRNA from 2 species